rnacentral:rRNA from 1 species
UACGGAAGGCAGCAGUGGGGAAUAUUGCACAAUGGGCGAAAGCCUGAUGCAGCUAUGCCGCGUGUAUGAAGAAGGCCUUAGGGUUGUAAAGUACUUUCAUCGGGGAGGAAAAACAAAACUAAUAAUUUUAUUUCUUGACGUUACCCGAAAAAGAAGCACCGGCUAACUCCGUGCCAGCAGCCGCGGUAAUACAGAGGGUGCGAGCGUUAAUCGGAUUUACUGGGCGUAAAGCGUGCGUAGGCGGCUGAUUAAGUCGGAUGUGAAAUCCCUGAGCUUAACUUAGGAAUUGCAUUCGAUACUGGUCAGCUAGAGUAUGGGAGAGGAUGGUAGAAUUCCAGGUGUAGCGGUGAAAUGCGUAGAGAUCUGGAGGAAUACCGAUGGCGAAGGCAGCCAUCUGGGCCUAAUACUGACGCUGAGGUACGAAAGCAUGGGGAGCAAACAGGAUUAGAAUACC